CGUUUUGUUGCUGAGUGUUUUGUUAACUGGUGAACGUUGUGCUACUCGGGCAGCUCGAGGUUUUCGAAGUUAUUUCCUUGGGUUUCCUUCCCAGAAUGCCAGUUUUAACGAAAUAUUCUAGAGACGAAUCCUAAAUUUUCACGGCAGGAUUCUUUGCCGCAGGGACUUUUGUUUAAGUGAUCCCAGUUCUGAGAAGCCCUUUGAUAACUGUUCAUAAUUUGUUCAAUUAAUUUUCUGAACUAUGGUCCUACCCACUGUAGUAGCUGCUAAUUCGCUUGCCUGUUUCUUAUGUAGAUUCACCCUCAACGUGCUUCUCAUCACUGAGUUUACAUCUCUUGUUCUCCGAAUAAGUCAGUCAAAAUCUUCGACGAAAAUGUGUUCGC